rnacentral:tRNA from 1 species
UAGGUAUUAGUUAAAAAUUAAUAACUUUUAAAUUGCAAUUAAAAAUUGAUCUAACUUAAUCAUACCU